UACGAGGGGGGGCAAGCGUUGUUCGGAAUUAUUGGGCGUAAAGGGCGCGUAGGCGGUGCGGUAAGUCACCUGUGAAACCUCUAGGCUCAACCUAGAGCCUGCAGGCGAAACUGCCGUGCUUGAGGGUGGGAGAGGUGCGUGGAAUUCCCGGUGUAGCGGUGAAAUGCGUAGAUAUCAGGAGGAACACCGGUGGUGCAGACGGCUCUCUGGACCGUAACUGACGCUGAGACACGAAAGCGUGGGUAGCAAACAGG
rnacentral:rRNA from 1 species